UUGCUUCAGCAGUACACAUACUAAAGCUGGAACAAUACAGAGAAAAUUAGCAUGGCCUCUGCACAAGGAUGAUAUGCAAAUUCGUGAAGCGUUCUAUAAUUUU
rnacentral:snRNA from 1 species